AUUGAACGCUGGCGGCAGGCUUAACACAUGCAAGUCGAGCGAGCGGCGGACGGGUGAGUAAUGUCUGGGAAACUGCCUGAUAGAGGGGGAUAACUACUGGAAACGGUAGCUAAUACCGCAUACCAUCAGAUGUGCCCAGAUGGGAUUAGCUAGUAGGUGGGGUAAUGGCUCACCAAGGCGACGAUCCGUAGCUGGUCUGAGAGGAGGACCAGCCACACUGGAAUGGAGACACGGGCCAGACUCCUACGGGAGGCAGCAGUGGGUAAUAUUGGACAAUGGGCGCAAUCCGGAUGCAGCCAUCCCGCGGGUAUGAUGAAGGCCUUCGGGUUGUAAAGCACUUGCAGCGAGGAGGCGGUACUCGCAGAAGAAGCACCGGCUAACUCCGUGCCAGCAGCCGCGGUAAUAC
rnacentral:rRNA from 1 species